CCCUGCAGCUGUCUUUGCUGGGGCAGGAGGACACAGACUUGUACUACUGCAGCUGGAUAUACUUCAAAUCAGAGACGGAUAAUAUUGAAUCCCUGCCCAGCAAUGGCACCAUUAUUAUUGUCAAAGAAAGAGAUCCACAGGAACAAUGCAGGCAUCACAUUUGGGAUCUCAUCUUGAUUGCCUUUGGUGUGACAGCAUUCCCUGUCAUUUUGUUCGUUGGAGUGAUUGUGAGAUGCAAACGAUUUAAAAAGAACUUCAGACCGGCCAGAGUUGUAAAACGACCCAGAGUUAACCGGCCUCAGCAUGUCUGUCCUCAGCGGAGAGUUCAACAAUGUCCCUACUUAGAUACAUAUGUAAAUAAUCCUACUUUGGACUUCAGAGGCAGUCGGUACUGCUAAGACUCAAUGUGAUGAUAAUGAUAUGACAUGGCCAUUCUUUAGAACAGUUGUUGUCUAAAUGGAUUAAUGAACUCUGCGGUUAAUGUAUUGCACAGAGGGUUUGUAACAGAUGGUUAAGAUAUAUUUUGAGUCAGCAGCUUGCCUAAUGUGCUCAAGGUGUCUCACUUCUUGCUCAUUUCCUUUUUUAUACAAAUUUGUGUUUUGUUUGCAGAAAAGCGAUGAGCUACCACAUCCUGGCUGAUGUUGGGUGUACAGGUGCAAUGCGUGUGAAGAGUGUCAGUAAAGUGCAGAGCAAGCAUUAUUGUUCUUCUAUACAGUAUGUUGCAUUACAGGUGGGCUUAAACCGCUGAAUUUUGCAGGAUACUUAUUCUACGUGUUUCUUUUGUGUGUCAUAAAUAGUUUGAACCUUUUGAACCAGUUUCUGUCUGAAUUUAUAUGUACAAUAAAUCUCAAUAUUUUUUCCA